rnacentral:misc_RNA from 1 species
CCAAAACUUAGCUGCUCCAGUUCAGGCUGGUUGCACGCUUCAACCCUCUGUGAACCAAAAACCUUUACGCUUCGGCAGCUGGUUCCAGCUGUAAGCCUGCCGAUGGCACCCAUUUAAACCUAUCGUUAAAUAUUUGUCUGAACUAAAUAUUUUCGAAUGAAAAUUA